rnacentral:rRNA from 1 species
GUGGGGAAUAUUGGACAAUGGGCGAAAGCCUGAUCCAGCCAUGCCGCGUGUGUGAAGAAGGUCUUCGGAUUGUAAAGCACUUUAAGUUGGGAGGAAGGGCAGUAAGUUAAUACCUUGCUGUUUUGACGUUACCAACAGAAUAAGCACCGGCUAACUUCGUGCCAGCAGCCGCGGUAAUACAGAGGGUGCGAGCGUUAAUCGGAAUUACUGGGCGUAAAGCGCGCGUAGGUGGUUUUGUAAGUUGGAGGUGAAAUCCCCGGGCUCAACCUGGGAACUGCCUCCAAAACUGCAUGACUAGAGUACGGUAGAGGGUAGUGGAAUUUCCUGUGUAGCGGUGAAAUGCGUAGAUAUAGGAAGGAACACCAGUGGCGAAGGCGACUACCUGGACUGAUACUGACACUGAGGUGCGAAAGCGUGGGGAGCAAACAGGAUUAGAAACCCCUGUAGUCC